UACGUAGGGUGCAAGCGUUAUCCGGAAUUAUUGGGCGUAAAGAGCUCGUAGGCGGUUUGUCGCGUCGAAUGUGAAAACCCGGGGCUCAACCCCGGGCCUGCAUUCGAUACGGGCAGACUAGAGUUCGGUAGGGGAGUCUGGAAUUCCUGGUGUAGCGGUGAAAUGCGCAGAUAUCAGGAGGAACACCCGUGGCGAAGGCGGCUCUCUGGGACGGUACUGACGCUGAGACGCGAAAGCGUGGGGAGCGAACAGG
rnacentral:rRNA from 1 species